GAUGAACGCUAGCGGCAGGCUUAACACAUGCAAGUCGAGGGGUAGGUUACUUCGGUAAUUGAGACCGGCGCACGGGUGCGUAACGCGUAUACAAUCUACCUUUUACAGAGGGAUAGCCCAGAGAAAUUUGGAUUAAUACCUCAUAGUAUUUUUGAAUCGCAUGAUUUGAUUAUUAAAGUUCCAACGGUAAAAGAUGAGUAUGCGUCCCAUUAGCUAGAUGGUAAGGUAACGGCUUACCAUGGCUACGAUGGGUAGGGGUCCUGAGAGGGAGAUCCCCCACACUGGUACUGAGACACGGACCAGACUCCUACGGGAGGCAGCAGUGAGGAAUAUUGGACAAUGGGCGCAAGCCUGAUCCAGCCAUGCCGCGUGCAGGAAGAAGGUCCUAUGGAUUGUAAACUGCUUUUAUACAGGAAGAAACACACCCUCGUGAGGGUACUUGACGGUACUGUAUGAAUAAGGACCGGCUAACUCCGUGCCAGCAGCCGCGGU
rnacentral:rRNA from 1 species